CCUACGGGAGGCAGCAGUGAGGAAUAUUGGACAAUGGGCGCAAGCCUGAUCCAGCCAUGCCGCGUGCAGGAUGACGGUCCUAUGGAUUGUAAACUGCUUUUGUACAGGAAGAAACACUGGUUCGUGAACCAGCUUGACGGUACUGUAAGAAUAAGGAUCGGCUAACUCCGUGCCAGCAGCCGCGGUAAUACGGAGGAUCCAAGCGUUAUCCGGAAUCAUUGGGUUUAAAGGGUCCGUAGGCGGUUUGGUAAGUCAGUGGUGAAAGCCCAUCGCUCAACGGUGGAACGGCCAUUGAUACUGCCAGACUUGAAUUAUUAGGAAGUAACUAGAAUAUGUAGUGUAGCGGUGAAAUGCUUAGAGAUUACAUGGAAUACCAAUUGCGAAGGCAGGUUACUACUAAUUGAUUGACGCUGAUGGACGAAAGCGUGGGUAGCGAACAGGAUUAGAUACCCUGGUAGUCCACGCCGUAAACGAUGGAUACUAGCUGUUGGGAGCAAUCUCAGUGGCUAAGCGAAAGUGAUAAGUAUCCCACCUGGGGAGUACGUUCGCAAGAAUGAAACUUAAGAAAGUAGUAGACGNGUAGAGUUAGCGACGAGACGACACGGGAGGGUUAGGNG
rnacentral:rRNA from 1 species